rnacentral:snRNA from 1 species
CUGUAUUCUUCAAAAAACAUCAAGAUCAAGAAAGACGUAGUAUUUGUUCUUAUCAGUUUAAUAUCUGAUACGUCCUCUAUCCGAGGACAAUAUAUUAAAUGGAAUUUUGGAACAGGGAGAUGGAAGAGGAGCUUGCUCCGUCCACUCCACACAUCGACCUGGUAUUGCAGUACCUCCAGGAACAGUGCACCAAAA